rnacentral:rRNA from 1 species
AUUGAACGCUGGCGGAAUGCUUUACACAUGCAAGUCGAACGAUGAACCUUAGCUUGCUAGGGGGAUUAGUGGCGAACGGGUGAGUAACAUGUCGGAACGUACCUAGUAAUGGGGGAUAACUAGUCGAAAGAUUAGCUAAUACCGCAUACGCCCUGAGGGGGAAAGUAGGGGAUCUUCGGACCUUACGUUAUUAGAGCGGCCGAUAUCUGAUUAGCUAGUUGGUGGGGUAAAGGCCUACCAAGGCGACGAUCAGUAGCUGGUCUGAGAGGACGAGCAGCCACACUGUAACUGAGACACGGUCCAGACUCCUACGGGAGGCAGCAGUGGGGAAUUUUGGACAAUGGGGGCAACCCUGAUCCAGCCAUUCCGCGAGAGUGAAGAAGGCCUUCGGGUUGUAAAGCGCUUUCGCAAGGGAAGAAAACUUACAUUCUAAUAAAAUGUGAGGCUGACGGUACCUUGAUAAGAAGCACCGGCUAACUACGUGCCAGCCGCCGCAGUAA